GUAGGUGGCAAGCGUUGUCCGGAAUUAUUGGGCGUAAAGCGCGCGCAGGCGGUUCUUGAGUCUGAUGUGAAAGCCCACGGGCUCAACCGUGGAGGGUCAUUGGAAACUGGAGAACUUGAGUACAGAAGAGGAAAGCGGAAUUCCACGUGUAGCGGUGAAAUGCGUAGAGAUGUGGAGGAACACCAGUGGCGAAGGCGGCUUUCUGGUCUGUAACUGACGCUGAGGCGCGAAAGCGUGGGGAGCAAACAGGAUUAGAUACCCUGGUAGUCCACGCCGUAAACGAUGAGUGCUAAGUGUUAGGGGGUUUCCGCCCCUUAGUGCUGCAGCUAACGCAUUAAGCACUCCGCCUGGGGAGUACGGCCGCAAGGCUG
rnacentral:rRNA from 1 species